rnacentral:piRNA from 1 species
CCUUUGGUGAUGAACAGCAAUGUGGAAUUGU